CCUACGGGUGGCAGCAGUGGGGAAUAUUGGACAAUGGGCGAAAGCCUGAUCCAGCCAUGCCGCGUGUGUGAAGAAGGCCUUCGGGUUGUAAAGCACUUUCAGUGGGGAAGAAAGCCUUGGGGCUAAUACCCUCGAGGAAGGACAUCACCCACAGAAGAAGCACCGGCUAACUCCGUGCAGCAGCCGCGGUAAUACGGAGGGUGCGAGCGUUAAUCGGAAUUACUGGGCGUAAAGCGCGCGUAGGCGGUCUGAUAAGCCGGUUGUGAAAGCCCCGGGCUCAACCUGGGAACGGCAUCCGGAACUGUCAGGCUAGAGUGCAGGAGAGGAAGGUAGAAUUCCCGGUGUAGCGGUGAAAUGCGUAGAGAUCGGGAGGAAUACCAGUGGCGAAGGCGGCCUUCUGGACUGACACUGACGCUGAGGUGCGAAAGCGUGGGUAGCAAACAGGAUUAGAUACCCCGGUAGUC
rnacentral:rRNA from 1 species